ACUGACGAGGGCGAUUACCAGGUGAAGUUGCGCAACCUGAUCCGCUUCUUGCAGGAAGGCGACAAGGCCAAGGUGACCUUGCGUUUCCGUGGACGUGAAAUUACCCAUCAGGAGAUUGGCCUGGCCUUAUUGAAAAGGGUAGAAGCCGAUCUGACAGAACAUGCAGUGGUGGAGCAGUUUCCCAAGAUGGAAGGCCGCCAGAUGGUGAUGGUGUUGUCACCGCAAAAGAAAGCAAAACCUUAAUAUCUCCGGAUUUUCUGGUUUGUGAGUAGUAGGUAGUAAAGAGGUAGCGACGCGGCUUAAAGGCAUGCCCGA
rnacentral:misc_RNA from 1 species